rnacentral:lncRNA from 1 species
ACUUUUCCCUAUUUCGCGAAAUAACCCUUCCACCUCUCUCAAAUUGUUUCACAGAUAAAACCUUCCACUCCCAAAAAUAUUUAUAGAAAGGUCCCUGGUUUCUCGCGGAUUAGUCCUAAACCCUCUUUUAAGCCCCUAAUACAUGUUUAACUCGUUAUUUCAUGCACCAAACUUCCUCCAAUUCACCCCAAAUUCGACCACGUCAUCCUCCAGUAUAGUUCCGCCGAUCCAUAUCCAAAUUUCCCG